UGGCUCAGUUGGAAGAGCAUGGCUCUUGAAACGCCAGGAUUGCGGGUUCAAUUCCCAU
rnacentral:tRNA from 1 species